GAUGAACGCUGGCGGCGUGCUUAACACAUGCAAGUCGAACGAUGAAGGGAGCCUGCUCCUGGAUUAGUGGCGAACGGGUGAGUAACACGUGAGUAACCUGCCCUUGACUCUGGGAUAAGCCUGGGAAACUGGGUCUAAUACCGGAUAUGACCUUCCAUCGCAUGGUGGUUGGUGGAAAGCUUUUGUGGUUUUGGAUGGACUCGCGGCCUAUCAGCUUGUUGGUGGGGUAAUGGCCUACCAAGGCGACGACGGGUAGCCGGCCUGAGAGGGUGACCGGCCACACUGGGACUGAGACACGGCCCAGACUCCUACGGGAGGCAGCAGUGGGGAAUAUUGCACAAUGGGCGGAAGCCUGAUGCAGCGACGCCGCGUGAGGGAUGACGGCCUUCGGGUUGUAAACCUCUUUCAGUAGGGAAGAAGCGUAAGUGACGGUACCUGCAGAAGAAGCGCCGGCUAACUACGUGCCAGCAGCCGCGGUAAUACGUAGGGCGCAAGCGUUAUCCGGAAUUAUUGGGCGUAAAGAGCUCGUAGGCGGUUUGUCGCGUCUGCCGCGAAAGUCCGGGGCUCAACUCCGGAUCUGCGGUGGGUACGGGCAGACUAGAGUGAUGUAGGGGAGACUGGAAUUCCUGGUGUAGCGGUGAAAUGCGCAGAUAUCAGGAGGAACACCGAUGGCGAAGGCAGGCCUCUGGGCAUUAACUGACGCUGAGGAGCGAAAGCAUGGGGAGCGAACAGGAUUAGAUACCCUGGUAGUCCAUGCCGUAAACGUUGGGCACUAGGUGUGGGGGACAUUCCACGUUUUCCGCGCCGUAGCUAACGCAUUAAGUGCCCCGCCUGGGGAGUACGGCCGCAAGGCUAAAACUCAAAGGAAUUGACGGGGGCCCGCACAAGCGGCGGAGCAUGCGGAUUAAUUCGAUGCAACGCGAAGAACCUUACCAAGGCUUGACAUGAACCGGAAACGCCUGGAAACAGGUGCCCCACUUGUGGUCGGUUUACAGGUGGUGCAUGGUUGUCGUCAGCUCGUGUCGUGAGAUGUUGGGUUAAGUCCCGCAACGAGCGCAACCCUCGUUCUAUGUUGCCAGCACGUGAUGGUGGGGACUCAUAGGAGACUGCCGGGGUCAACUCGGAGGAAGGUGGGGACGACGUCAAAUCAUCAUGCCCCUUAUGUCUUGGGCUUCACGCAUGCUACAAUGGCCGGUACAAAGGGUUGCGAUACUGUGAGGUGGAGCUAAUCCCAAAAAGCCGGUCUCAGUUCGGAUUGGGGUCUGCAACUCGACCCCAUGAAGUCGGAGUCGCUAGUAAUCGCAGAUCAGCAACGCUGCGGUGAAUACGUUCCCGGGCCU
rnacentral:rRNA from 1 species